rnacentral:rRNA from 1 species
UACAGAGGGUGCGAGCGUUAAUCGGAAUUACUGGGCGUAAAGCGUGCGUAGACGGUUAUUUAAGUCGGGUGUGAAAGCCCCCGGGCUCAACCUGGGAAUUGCAUUCGAGACUGAAUAGCUAGGGUACGGUAGAGGGAAGUGGAAUUUCCGGUGUAGCGGUGAAAUGCGUAGAUAUCGGAAGGAACAUCAGUGGCGAAAGCGGCUUCCUGGUCCAGCACCGACGUUCAGGCACGAAAGCGUGGGGAGCAAACAGGG